AUUGAACGCUGGCGGCAUGCCUUACACAUGCAAGUCGAACGGCAGCACGGGGCAACCUGGUGGCGAGUGGCGAACGGGUGAGUAAUGCAUCGGAACGUACCUUUCAGUGGGGGAGAACGUAGCGAAAGUUACGCUAAUACCCCAUAUUCUGUGAACAGGAAAGCAGGGGAGCGCAAGACCCUGCUCUGAUUGAGAGGCCGAGAGGAGAUUAGCUAGUUGGUGAGGUAAAGGCUCACCAAGGCGACGAUCUGUAGCGGGUCUGAGAGGAUGAUCCGCCACACUGGAACUGAGACACGGUCCAGACUCCUACGGGAGGCAGCAGUGGGGAAUUUUGGACAAUGGGGGCAACCCUGAUCCAGCCAUGCCGCGUGAGUGAAGAAGGCCUUCGGGUUGUAAAGCUCUUUCGGCCGGGAAGAAAUCGCACGGGCUAAUACCCUGUGUGGAUGACGGUACCGGAAUAAGAAGCACCGGCUAACUACGUGCCAGCCGCCGCAGUAAUAC
rnacentral:rRNA from 1 species